CUACCUGCUCUGGAUACAGCAAACAGUUCAUGGACAGUGAAAAGCACCUCAAAGCCUCUUCUCGUGACCACUGAGAGAGGUCUAUUUCUGUGAUGUUGUGUGAUAGACAAGCAAUGGAAAAGAAAUAAGAUUCAGGUCAUUUAUUAAUGGGAAUACACCCUGCACCACCUGUGAUUCAGAGUUGCACUGUAGCUCAUAUUGCAUGUCAUACUGUGCUGUACAUGUGAGCAGCGUGAGGCUUUUUAAAAACACAAUUCAGACAAGGACAGUGAAAGUCAUUUCAUAAAAUCCCCAGCACUGCCGGACACACAGGCUUGUAUGAUGGCUGUUUUUAAGCUACCUGGCUCAGCAGUUUCAUGAACGAGUUUGAAGAAACAUGAGCUCAAACAGAUUGCUUCCGUACAAAGAUUAUAGACUUUUAAAGCCUUCAGCUAUGUGUUACUAUCUCUUACUGUACAGUUGUUGACUAGAUUUUUGUAAGACAUUCUGUAUAGUAAGUUUGAUGUGUGCUGCAUUUGCGAGACACAGUUGUUCUUGUAGUCUGAUUUACACAUUAUUGAAACAGUUAAACAUUGA
rnacentral:lncRNA from 1 species